UUAAAAAAAGAWAAGCUAAAUUUAA
rnacentral:tRNA from 1 species